CCUACGGGAGGCAGCAGUGGGGAAUAUUGCGCAAUGGAGGAAACUCUGACGCAGCAACGCCGCGUGGGUGAAGAAGGUCUUCGGAUUGUAAAGCCCUGUCGGGAGGGAAGAAAAGCACAUGGUGAAUGUGUCUGACGGUACCUUCGAAGGAAGCACUGGCUAACUCCGUGCCAGCAGCCGCGGUAAUACGGAGAGUGCAAACGUUGUUCGGAAUUAUUGGGCGUAAAGGGCGCGUAGGCGGCUUGGUAAGUCAGAUGUGAAAGCCCUGGGCUCAACCCGGGAAGUGCGUUUGAAACUGCUAAGCUUGAGUGCAGGAGGGAGAGGUGGAAUUCCAGGUGUAGGAGUGAAAUCCGUAGAUAUCUGGAGGAACACCGGUGGCGAAGGCGACCUCUUGGCCUGAAACUGACGCUGAGGCGCGAAGGCGUGGGUAGCAAACAGGAUUAGAUACCCUGGUAGUCCACGCGGUAAACGAUGCUCACUGGGUGCUGGUGGCAGACGCUGUCGAGUGCGUAGCGUACGACGAUAAGUAGAGCCGCCGUCGGGAGGUACGGUCGCGAGAAGUUAAACGUUAAAGUAAGUAGUAGUACGGCGUAGAGAGACGACGACGACGACGACGGAGGGAGGAGG
rnacentral:rRNA from 1 species